GACGAACGCUGGCGGCGUGCUUAACACAUGCAAGUCGAACGGAAAGGCCCCUUUGGGGGUACUCGAGUGGCGAACGGGUGAGUAACACUUGAGUAACCUGCCCUUGACUUCGGGAUAACUUCAGGAAACUGGGGCUAAUACCGGAUAGGAAUCCUUGCUUCAUGGUGGUGGUUGGAAAGCUUCGGCGGGUUUGGGUGGGCUCGCUGCUUAUCGGCUUGUUGGUGGGGUAGUGGAUUACCAAGGCUUUGACGGGUAGCCGGCCUGCGUGGGCGACCGGCCACCUUGGGACUGAGAUGAGGCCCAGACUCCUACGGGAGGGAGAAGUGGGGAAGAUUGCACAAUGGGCGGAAGCCGGAUGCAGAAGGGCCGCGGGCGGGAUGACGGUCUUCGGGUUGUAAAACGCUUUCAGCAGGGGCGAAGCUUGUGGUGACGGUACCUGAAGAAGAAGCACCGGCUAACUACGUG
rnacentral:rRNA from 1 species